rnacentral:tRNA from 1 species
AAGGAAAUAGCUCAGUGGUAGAGUGCGUGCUUAGCAUUCACGAAGUCCUGGGUUCAAGCCCCAGUACCUCUA